AUUGAACGCUGGCGGCAGGCUUAACACAUGCGAGUCGAGCGGGGAAAGGUAGCUUGCUCCCUGACCUAGCGGCGGACGGGUGAGUAAUGCUUAGGAAUCUGCCUAUUAGUGGGGGACAACAUCUCGAAAGGGAUGCUAAUACCGCAUACGUCCUACGGGAGAAAGCAGGGGACCUUCGGGCCUUGCGCUAAUAGAUGAGCCUAAGUCGGAUUAGCUAGUUGGUGGGGUAAAGGCCUACCAAGGCGACGAUCUGUAGCGGGUCUGAGAGGAUGAUCCGCCACACUGGGACUGAGACACGGCCCAGACUCCUACGGGAGGCAGCAGUGGGGAAUAUUGGACGAUGGGGGGAACCCUGAUCCAGCCAUGCCGCGUGUGUGAAGAAGGCCUUUUGGUUGUAAAGCACUUUAAGCGAGGAGGAGGCUACCGAGAUUAAUACUCUUGGAUAGUGGACGUUACUCGCAGAAUAAGCACCGGCUAACUCUGUG
rnacentral:rRNA from 1 species